rnacentral:RNase_P_RNA from 1 species
GAAGCCGACCAGACCGCCGCUGGUGCGAUCGGGGAAACCCGGCACUGGAGGAAGGUCCGGACUGCACAGGGCGGCGUAGCAGCUAACGGCUGUCCACCGCAAGGUGAGGAUCAGAGCAACAGAGACGAGUCCGUGGCGGUGAAAUCCGCUGCGGGGUGCAACGGGCAAUCUCUACGCGCAGCAACACCCAAUAGGCCGGCAAUGAGGCGGCCCGCGGAGCCGGCGGGUAGGUGGCACCGAGCCGGGGGGCGACUCCCGGCCCAGAGGAAUGGCGGUCACGGCGUGCGCGCUGCAAGGCGCGGGCGACGCACAGAAUCCGGCCUAUCGGUCGACUUCACAC